CUUCUCCUCCUCUUCUCCUCUUCUCAUUCAUUCUACUCUCCUCUUCUCCUCUUCUCAAAAAUCACAAUUCACAAUCAAUGAAUCAAAUAUCUUCUUACAACAAACAAACAAACCUCUCCUUCCACUCUCAUCAGUCAGCAACAUAAUUUUCUCUCUUCACUCUAAGUCUAAGCCAAGGAUGAAGAAAUUCUUCCCUGUGUUGUCUAGAGACAAAGCUAGUUCUUCGACUACGGAUAUUGCUCCCAACUCGACCAAUGAGGGUGUUAAAGUUGUUGAUUAUAAAUUGUUGGAAACAGAUCCAGGAAUUAGGCCUCCAAUUUCAAGCUAUCAUCCUGACAUCCAAGAUGAGAUGUGUCGGAAGUGGAGUUGCGCAGACAACUUCAUAAUUAUGUUAGAAAUGUUAAAUCUGAUCCAAAAUUUGCAAAGUUGAAAGGGCUUUCGGAUCUUUGUGCAAUACUUGUGGAAACAAAUAAGUGCAAGACAUUUGCUUUGGUUUUUAAGCUUUUGAAGUUGGCUUUGCUCUUGCCGGUUGCAACUGCAAGUGUUGAACGUGUUUUUUCAGCUAUGAAGAUUGUGAAGAGUCAUUUACGUAACAAAAUGGGUGAUCAAUGGUUAAAUGAUCGGCUUGUAACUUUUAUUGAAAGAGAUGUUCUUUUCACAAUUAGCACUGAUGUUAUUCUAGCUCAUUUUCAACAAAUGGAUGGCAGACGAUUUUCAUUGUAAUUUAACAAAUGUAUGGUUAAAUGUUUAUAUAUUAUUUUUA